CCACCCACCCACUCGCCGGCUCUCGGCUCUCGCCGGUACCGCCACCCGCAGCCGCGCCGCUGCCCGCCCGCUCCACGCCCGCGCCCGCUCGCUGCAGCCGAGGGGAAAACGAGACGGAAAGGAAAAGUUGCAGUUGGGAUUCCGAGGGUCGGCGUUGGGGAGGGAGAGUUGGCAAGCUGACUGAGCAACACGAAAGGCGUUCUCCCUUCCACUUUUUGGCCCUCGUGCUGCCCGGUUUUGCUGCAAUCUCCUCCGCAGGAGGAAGCGAAAUGAGCGUGGCCCAGGUGACCCGGGAUGCUCCCCAGCCUGAGUGAGGGUCUCGGGCUCACGGACAGUGACGGGAAUCAGGAGCGCACAGGAACCCGAGCGAGGCAGCCAGGGACGCCGGCCGCAGACGUGCAGACCUAGAUCUGAAUGACACUCAUUUGGGGACCAGAGAAGGAGAGAAAGAGGGAAGGAGCGCCUGCAGGACUGCGCUGGAGAACCGAGGUGGCCCAGGGCGAGCGAUUCAUGCGAAAGAAGCGGCCAGGAAAUUGAGAUGCGAAGGGCAUUUUUUGGCAAGCACCACGCCAGCACCGUCGGAGGCCAGCUUCUUGGGCUCAGCCCUCGGGUGCGCCGAGCUGGCAGCCUGGUGAGGGGGUGGGCGGACUGCUCUCUCCGGAUGAUUUGGGGGGCACAGAACCUCCUCUUUCCCUCCCCCACAAACACCCCUUCCUGGUAGGGGCUCAAAACAGGUGCAGCCUUCGAGGCAAGUUUAGACCUGAUGGGGAGAGAAGUAUAGCCCCCGCUUUUUGCCUUGAUAGGAUUGUUUUAAAAAUAAAAUGCAAAUGUAAAUAUGCCAAAUGCGAGCUAUUUCCUGAGAAAGCCUGAGAUUUUGCUGUGGGAAAGGAGAAGAAAGGGUUAGGGGAAUCCGAGCAGGCAGACACACUACAGCAUUCACACGCAGAAGAAAGCAGCGCUCUCCUCCCCGAGCUUGGGUGAGGGCAGGCAAGGAAGCAAAAUACAUUGAAUUCAACAGCAUCCAGGAUCUGAAAGGAUUCUCCCCCGCCCCCCUGUGGAUUCCAAUGCAGGUCAUGCAACUUGCAGGCAAGAUGGGGGGAAGGGGUAUUGCGGUGCCACCAGCCUGCCCCUAGUGCCACCGACAGACAGACCCGAUGGCUUGCAGUAACACUUUUUGCUGGGAGUAAACUUGGGUGAAAGGAGGAAAAGAAAAGAGCAUGCCUAUAAAAGGCAUUUUCCCCGACUUCUCAUUACACUCUGCCUUCCUUUUGCCCCAGUGAGACUUUUACACCCUGUCGCCAUGAUGGCCUUGUCCCCAGAAUGGCAUUUUGCCCUCCCGCCAGCAGGAGGGGACAGAGUGGAGACAGCCUUAGACUCUCAAACCAGAACCUACUGGCUUCAGGCCAGUCCCUGAUGUCCUUGUCCAUUGGGAAUCUCCCUGACACUUCAAGUGCCAUCCUGAGUGACUUUAGGGUUCUCUGAGAGGCAGGGAGAGUAAGGUGUAGCCAGGACACUGGAACUUGGCCUCUCUUGAGAGAUAGCAGAGGAGAAAUAGGAAGCAUUUCCCAGACUACCCCAGGGAGACAGAAUAGCUGACUGCCUGAGGGGAUUUAGUAGAGCUCCAACAAGGAGAAAGCAUAGUUGUGUCUUAAAGGGUGCCCCGCCCAUUUUUAAGGACAAGGACGAUUUUUAUUACUGCCUGCAAAGAAAGGAUGCUAUCCAUAAGUCGGGUUUCAAAGCAAAACUUUGGAAACCUCUUCAGAGAGUGAAAAUUCAGGCUGUGAAGCAAGGGACUCUGAUUGGACAAAAGGUCUUUCAUUCUUGACCGUGGAUAGGAUGAAGGUAAGGUGCUAGGAGCUCUGAGCCCACUUAGAAAGUAAAGCUUAAAAAUGAAGAAGGCUCUUUUUUUUUAAUGCAAGUGGAAAGAGCAGAGUUCUACUUAUGACCAUGAACAAAUAGACUUACACUCUGGGCCUCAGCUUUCAAAUCCAUGAAAUGACCACAUGGAACCAGGUCUUUGCUCUCCUUUAACUGAUGACAUCCACAGUCCCUGCCAGCUUGUAAUAGAUAAUACAACUCCUUGGACCUCAUCAGAGACUUCCCAAACCAAACAUUUUAAGAAGUUCCCCUAGGUGAUUGACAGGCAUGGGGUGGGGGCAGCUUCAGAGCCCCUACAGCUCGAAUCAUCUCUGGUUCUCCACAAGCCUUGGAUGAAGGGACUCAUUAGAAAGGAACAGGGAUUCCAUGUAGGUUCCCAGAAGCAUCCAGUUAGAAUAAAUGAGUGUCUUGGGUGCCUGCAAAAACAGAACUUUGGGGCUGGCAAGAUGGCUGUCAUCAAUAAAGUAUUGAUCACACAA